ensembl:lncRNA
AUGCUGGACUCCAGCACAAGACUGGGAGAAGAAUCAGAGUUACAUAAGCCACAUGAAGUGAGUUCUACACAAAGAAGGGAACCUGAAAGUACAACUUUCCCAGAGAAAGAUCUUUCCUUCUCACCAAAAAGCAUCAGGAAGAAUUGGAAGGAGAGAGGUCCAUGCUACCCCAGGUAUGGAGGAGGCUCAACUGCAAGAGAGAACAAACAUGAGGGGCUGGCUUUUGAAGGGGGGCGACAAGGCUGUGUUCCAGAGUCUGCUGGGCAGGGGGUGGGGGUGGGGAAGAAAGGAAAAAGACGGGGAUACCGUUUACAGAAUGAGAAGAACUGGAGGUUCCUUCCUCUCAGGCUCUGUCUUGUGUCUGCAUGGAGCCUCUCUGAGGGAGAGAAAUAGAUUCCAGCUCUGCUGAGAAGUCUGCACAAUUUAACAACUUGACUAACACCCCGGCUAGGAACCAAGUCACUGAAUUUUGUGACAUUUCACCUAGACUGCAUAAAAAAUAAGCCCUUGGGCUCCUGCUGCCCAGCCUUCUUCUGGGAAGAAGGCCACUGUCUGAUGUGGAGGACCUCGGGGCACACCCUCAUUGCCUCAGAGGGCCCUGGGUCUGACAGAGGCUGAUCUUUCCAAGCUUUAACGCAGCAUUUCACAGCGACUUUCUCACCUUCGUCUUUGCACCAGGCUUUCCUGACAGUGCUCUGGAUUGGAUGUUUGCUCAGAAGCCAUUUUUUAAUUUUAGCCUUGUUUGGCAUCUGGAGAGCUGGGAGGCUUCCAAGCCAGCCAGUCACGAUUUCAUUUCGUUGAAAGUCCUUCCUUGACGUAUUCCCGUCCUCUUGCAUUUUAUAACGAGCAGCAGGAGCAGCCAGGUAACACUUGCCACACCUGGUGGGAAACCUCCUCUGCUGGAUCACCCAGUAUGGCAGGUGGACCUCCUGCCUUCCACGGGCCUGCAGGUGACAGCAUUGCCCUCAUAUUUCCAAAAUCACUGCCCACACCUCAUCAUUUCCAAUCAGAGCCCCAUUCGUGGUAUAUGGGGGGGAGGACUGAGUCUCCACAUCCUCACAGUAAAUCUCCAGUACUACCUCUCAGCCAGCGUGUCCAUUGUGUCCAUCCUUAAUUAAGUACCAGCAUUUCUGGUACUAAUGGUAGUACAGGAAGAGGAAAUGGGGGGUUGGGGCAGGAAUCAUGGUGGGUGAUGGGGCAGCAGCGCAGGUAGACAGGUGAUAAAUGGAGAAAAAGAAUAAUUAAAACCCCUUAUGCUUGGCAUACUGUUUAUGAGGGCCAGUGCAGAACCUAGAAUAAAGACAUGAUUUUAAUCA